rnacentral:lncRNA from 1 species
GGGAGAGGGAAGGGGAGAAGGGGUGAUCGGGAAGCCACGGGCCAUCCUUGGAAACCCAGCCUGGAGAAGGCUGGCUCCGAGGGAGUCUCUGCCCUGACUGAGGCUCAGGAAAGGGCUAGAAGCUGACCUUGCCCUGCCUUCCUGCAGAGACACGCUGGGCCCUGGGGUGACAGAGGUCCCAGACAGGGUAUGUGUCAUGGUGGAUUUGAUGCCAGGUCCUUUGAGAGCCAGGAGAGGACAGAUGCUCCCUCCACUCUCUGCCCCUGUCUUUUCCAGAAUGGAGGCUUCUUUGGCAAAUAGGAAAUUGCAGGACUCUCCUGGGGGCUUCCUCGCCCUCCCACACUCACACAUCCACAGUCUUACAGCUGACCCUGGGAGGCUAGAGCUGAGACAUGCACCAAAGGUUGCUCCAUGGCCUGGUCCCCUUCUAGACGUGAAUCUGUGCAAGGGCCCAGGCCGGCAGAAGAAGCGCGAGGCCAUCCUGUGACGGGGGAACUACGGGGUGUCCAGACCCAGCAGGAGCCGAGGAUUCAGGAAAAUCUCCCCAGUGGGCUCCAGAGGUGCCCACGGUGUGAGCUUUGGUGUCUCCCAGGUAGGGGCCAAAGCGUCUUCACCUGCCCAGCCCUGGGGAUGGAAGUGGAGUAGACGGCACUCCUGUCUGGGCAACCGAGUGAGACCCUGUCUCUAAAGAAGUACAUACACUUGGCCGGGCGCGGUGGCUCAAGCCUGUAAUCCCAGCACUUUGGGAUCACGAGGUCAGGAGAUCGAGACUAUUUGGCUAAAAUGGUGAAACCCCGUCUCUACUAAAAAAUACAAAAAACUAGCCGGGCGAGGUGGCGGGCGCCUGUAGUCCCAGCUACUCGGGAGGCUGAGGCAGGAGAAUGGCGUAAACCCAGGAGGCGGAGCUUGCAGUGAGCCGAGAUCCGGCCACUGCACUCCAGCCUGGGCAACCGAGUGAGACUCCGUUUCAAAAAAAAAAGAAGUACAUACACUUAUUUAGACUCCUCUGUCUUUGUCA